rnacentral:SRP_RNA from 1 species
GGGCAAGCCUUAUACGAUCAGCUCCUGCUGAACUCCCCCAGGGUCGGAAGGCAGCAAGGGUAGGUGGUUGUAGCGAUGCGAUAUAAGUAACUUGCCCACU